GGGGCCAUCGUACAAUGGCAGUACACGGGCUUUGCAAGCCUGGGAUAGGGGUUCGACUCCCCUUGGCUCCACCA
rnacentral:tRNA from 1 species